UGAUUAGAUACCCCUGUAGUCCCAGCCGUAAACGAUGCGCGUUAGGUGUAUCGAUGACCACGAGUCAUCGAGGUGCCGAAGGGAAACCGUGAAACGCGCCGCCUGGGAAGUACGGUCGCAAGGCUGAAACUUAAAGGAAUUGGCGGGGGAGCACCACAACAGGUGGAGCCUGCGGUUUAAUCGGACUCAACGCCGGAAAUCUCACCGGAUAAGACAGCUGAAUGAUAGUCGGGCUGAAGACUCUACUUGACUAGCUGAGAGGAGGUGCAUGGCA
rnacentral:rRNA from 1 species